UUUGACCAGUCCAAGCCAUGCCCGACGCCAGCUUGCCUCCAAACCCACUCUAGCACGCGUGUUCUCGCCGUGCCCACUGCAUCUAAGGUGAGCCUGAGCUCCCCUCGUCUCUCCUCUUCAUCUUAGCCUCUCCCCUCGAGCUCAUGCUGCCCCCGCCUUGUUCCGCUCGCUCCCAUGAGCCUACUAGACUGGCCCCUUCUCCUUCCCCUAACCUCUCUUCCCAUAUGGUUGAAGCUCACCCGCCGGGUGCAGCUCCCGAUCCGGGCACGCAUGGAUCCUCCUUGCUCUAUCUUUGGUCCGUGGCGGACCACUGCACCUCCACGGUCUCCUCCCUCUCCUCUCCCCUCUUUCAGUGGCCGCAGCACCGCUCCUGGAGCUGCUGCCAUCGCCUGCACCGCGGCCAGGGGUCGGUUCUCUCCGGCGUCUUCUAGCAGGGGAGAGCAGCCCAGCUAGGUGUGGUUCCCUCCCUCGGGCACGCUUGUGGCCGCGGCAUGGCCAGCCUUGGCCGAAGCCACCGGAGAGGACACGAGCUCCAGCC
rnacentral:lncRNA from 1 species